rnacentral:tRNA from 15 species
UUUAGCUUAUUUGGUAAAGCGCCGGUCUGUGGAACCGGAGAACAGGGUUCGAUCCCCGGAGAUACCCA